UGGCUCAGGAUGAACGCUGGCGGCGUGCCUAAUACAUGCAAGUCGAGCGCAAAGAUCAGGAGCUUGCUCCUGUGAUUUGAGCGGCGGACGGGUGAGUAACACGUAGGCAACCUACCCUUGAGAUUGGGAUAACUACCGGAAACGGUAGCUAAUACCGGAUACGACAUUUCUGCAUAAGUAGAAUUGUUAAAAGGCGGAUUUAUCUGCCGCUCAUGGAUGGGCCUGCGGUGCAUUAGCUAGUUGGUGAGAUAGUAGCUCACCAAGGCGACGAUGCAUAGCCGACCUGAGAGGGUGAUCGGCCACACUGGGACUGAGACACGGCCCAGACUCCUACGGGAGGCAGCAGUAGGGAAUCUUCCGCAAUGGACGCAAGUCUGACGGAGCAACGCCGCGUGAGUGAUGAAGGGUUUCGGCUCGUAAAACUCUGUUGUUAAGGAAGAAUACUUGAGGUAGUAACUGGCCUUGAGAUGACGGUACUUAACCAGAAAGCCACGGCUAACUACGUGCCAGCAGCCGCGGUA
rnacentral:rRNA from 1 species